rnacentral:rRNA from 1 species
UACGUAGGGCGCAAGCGUUAUCCGGAAUUAUUGGGCGUAAAGAGCUCGUAGGCGGUUUGUCGCGUCUGCUGUGAAAGACCGGGGCUCAACUCCGGUUCUGCAGUGGGUACGGGCAGACUAGAGUGAUGUAGGGGAGACUGGAAUUCCUGGUGUAGCGGUGAAAUGCGCAGAUAUCAGGAGGAACACCGAUGGCGAAGGCAGGUCUCUGGGCAUUAACUGACGCUGAGGAGCGAAAGCAUGGGGAGCGAACAGGAUUAGAAACCCCCGUAGUCC